AACGAACGUUAGCGGCGCGCUUAACACAUGCAAGUCGAACGAGAAAGGGCUUCGGCCCCGGUACAGUGGCGCACGGGUGAGUAACACGUGGGUAAUCUACCCUCGAGCGGGGGAUAACGUUCCGAAAGGAGCGCUAAUACCGCAUAAGACCACGCUCUCGAAAGGGAGCGAGGUAAAAGUAGGCCUCUGAAUUCACGCUUACACUCGAGGAUGAGCCCGCGGCCCAUCAUGGUAGUUGGUAGGGUAAUGGCCUGCCAAGCCGAAGACGGGUAGCUGGUCUUAGAGGAUGAUCAGCCACACUGGAACUGAGACACGGUCCAGACUCCUACGGGAGGCAGCAGUGGGGAAUCUUGCGCAAUGGGCGAAAGCCUGACGCAGCGACGCCGCGUGGGCGAAGAAGGCCUCGGUUGUAAAGCCUGUGGGGAGGAACGAACCGUACGGGGCGGAAGUAACCUCCGUGCCUGACGGUACUCCUUUAGUCAAGCAUCGGCUAACUCUGUGCCAGCAG
rnacentral:rRNA from 1 species